GACGUUGAUAUUCAACGUCAUAAACAUUCAACUUAGAUGUUUAUGACGUUGAUAUUCAACGUCAUAAACAUUCAACUUAGAUGUUUAUGACGUUGAUAUUGAACGUC